AUGGCUGUCGUCAGCUCGUGUCGUGAGAUGUUGGGUUAAGUCCGUACGAGCGCAACCCUGUCCUUAGUUACCAGCACGUUAUGGUGGGCACUCUAAGGAGACUGCCGGUGGACAAACCGGAGGAAGGUGGGGGAGUGACGUCAAGUCAUCAUGGCCCUUACGGCCUGGGCUACACACGUGCUACAAUGGUCGGUACAAAGGGUUGGCCAAGCCGCGAGGUGGAGCUAAUCCCAUAAAACCGAUCGUAGUCCGGAUCGCAGUCUGCAACUCGACUGCGUGAAGUCGGAAUCGCUAGUAAUCGUGAAUCAGAAUGUCACGGUGAAUACGUUCCCGGGCCUU
rnacentral:rRNA from 1 species